rnacentral:rRNA from 1 species
AGAUUGAACGCUAGCGGGAUGCUUUACACAUGCAAGUCGAACGGCAGCGCGGACUUCGGUCUGGCGGCGAGUGGCGAACGGGUGAGUAAUAUAUCGGAACGUGCCCAGUAGCGGGGGAUAACUACGCGAAAGCGUGGCUAAUACCGCAUACGCCCGUACGGGGGGAAAGGGGGGAUCGCAACGACCCCUCACUAUUGGAGCGGCCGAUAUCAGAUUAGCUAGUUGGUGAGGUAAAGGCUC